rnacentral:rRNA from 1 species
CCCUUAGAUGUUCGGGGCCGCACGCGCGCUACACUGAAGGAAUCAGCACGUCUUUCUCCUUGUCCGAAAGGACUGGGUAACCCGCUGAACCUCCUUCGUGCUAGGGAUUGGGGCUUGUAAUUCUUCCCCAUGAACGAGGAAUUCCCAGUAAGCGCGAGUCAUAAGCUCGCGUUGAUUACGUCCCUGCCCUUUGUACACACCGCCCGUCGCUGCAACUGAUUGGGUGACCUGGUGAACAUCUUGGACCGGCUUGCCCAUUUUUGGACGAGUUGGAAAAGGACGUAAAUCAGGUACAUCUAGAAAUUGCAAAAGUCGUAACA